CCUUCGCUAGCUCAGCUGGUAGAGCGGAGGACUGUAGAUCCUUAGGUCGCUGGUUCAAUUCCAGCUCGAAGGA
rnacentral:tRNA from 1 species